UAGAGCAAGAGAAGUCAGGUUGUCUCUGCUUCUUUCCUAGAGCAAGGUGACACAGCCGUCACGGCAAGGUGAUGGAUUUCGAGCAAUUAAGGGAUUUUCUUCCUCUAGUGGCUCAGCUGGGCUGGAAAGCUCAGCACUUCAUGCUCCUGCUGACUUUGACUUGGUUUCCAAAGAGGCAGAAGCCACAACGAGAGCAACUUCUCUGUGGGGGUUGCGAGUCAUGGCUCCUUAAAUAGCUCAGGAUGGGUUGAGGAGCCCUGCUUUUCAGGGCAGUGCGGAGUCGUGGGUGACAGGAGGUAUUUCUCCCAAUACACAGCCCGCUGCUGCCUGCUCUGCCCCUGUGCUUUGGAGCAGGAUGCUGCCCACCAGCCCCUGCCAGGAAUGGGGUGUCCCACACAACAGGCUGCCCUGCACCAGGUCUCACCUUCGCAUAUCAUGACCUCAGAGACAAGACUUGGUGGAGGGGACAUCUGUGUCUGGGGAGCAUUUUCUGGAGCAUCGCCCAUGCAGGCAUGGUUCUGCAAGCCUUUCUGACAGCAUGUCUCAGCUUCUCUAUUCAAUUUGUUUAUUUCAUACUUUGCCACAUGCAUGAUCCCACAACUCUGUUUCUACCCAAUAUUAAUGUUUUGGAUGUGAUAGAGCAGUUGCAUUCUAAAAGCAGGGAAGAAAGUUAGCUCUGCCUGCUAUUUUGUUUGUAAACAGCUGAGGAGAUGAAGCUGUUCUUCAGCAACUGCUUUGUUGCUGGGUCUGGCUGUGCCCAUACAAAUCACCAUGUCCAGCAGUUUAUUCCUCAUGGCUUUAUUCUUUUUCUCACUGUUGUGGUACGAAACACUAACAUCAUGUCUGGGUUUAGUGUCAUUGGCAGGAGCUGGGAUUCCUUUGUGAUACUGCUGUAAAGCUGUCCCAGGCAAUUUAUACAGAUCAGACUAUUAGAGAUAAUUUUUCAACUGAGAACUAUGCUAAGGAAGGGGCCCAGGUGCUGGUAGGAAGGAAAGACACCCUGCAAAUCUGACGGGGUCAGGGAGCACUUGCACACCCGAGCUGUCCCUAGCAAGCCCUGUGCCCCUGCCCAGGCAUCUGCCCAGCGAGUGCUGCAGGGCACAUAAGCACUGCCCACUCCGAUGGAGCAGAACUUGUCUUGGUAUAAUUCCUGUACAUCUGCCCAAGAAGCCUGCAGCAGUGGGUAGGAAAGAGAAGUUUCUCUAGACCAUGGAGGCACGAGGUGGUGGGGUUCCUCAGCCUCCAUGUAGCAAGUUGCCAAGGCCAAACAGCAACAGCAGGUUGGUGUGGGUACCCAGCACCCACCAUGGCAGAAGUAGAGCUCAGGAAGUCCUUUUCACUAAAAGAUCCAGCAUAUCCGUAUGGGCAGGUCCAUCGUGGCUUCACAGAAGAGAAAUCCAAGCCCAUGGAAAGCUGCUGGGCUGUUCCCACUCUGCCCAGCUAUGCUGUUAUCUCCCACCAUAGGCUGCAGAAGCACCACGCAUCACCAAAGCUCACCUCAUUGCUCCAAGACAUAAACCUGGAGCAACAUGCAGCAUGGCAACUGUGCAGAUGGGAGCAGACUGAGCAUCUGACAGAGAAAGAGAAAAGAAGUUGCUGAAAAAUACCAGCAAGUUCGGUUCUCCUCCAGCUCUGGCCAAGCCUGCUGCUGUGGGACAGCGCUGUUGCCAGGUAUCUGGAAAGUGUCGGUUUAACAUGAUGUGCUCAUGGCUUGAGCUUUAUAAGGGUUUUAAAAUAUAUAUUAAGGAUAUAAAAUGGUAAGUCUGAAGAUUUUGCUUCAAGAUAGCCAUUUGCAAAUGAGCCCGAGUUGUCACCUAUGGCUGAAAGCUGUUUCUGGUGUUUGGCAUGUCACUUCUAUGUGAGGAUUUAUCCUAGGAUGUCACCUUUUUCUAUUCUUUUGAUUUAUAGAAUACGCUCAAAAAGUCAGAAGAGUGUUCAAUGAUCUGGCUAGUUUAGAUUCUUGUCAUCAGAGCACUGAAUUUGUGGUGAAGGCCUCACCACACACCUGAAGAUUUGGAAACCUGGAUGAUGAAAUUUCCUGGAGGAGCAACGCGUUGGGCAGAUGCCAUGCGGGUCAGCCCCUGGCACCCAGCUCACACCUCAGAAGGUUCCUGAGACUUAUGAACAUUGAUCUCCAGCAGCAGGGAAUGUGGAGGAGUUCAGACAGAAGACAAAGUGAGCUGCUGGUAACAAGGACAGAGCUAACAGAGUGGCCCAGAGAAGCCCUUACCCGGAGGUAGCCCAGCCAGGUGCCACCCCCACCCCACACUCCGAAAAGAGAACUGCCCCUGGGAAAAUAAAAUGUUUUCUUACGUUGUUCUUUUUA